AGCAGCCGCGGUAAUUCCAGCUCCAAUAGCGUAUAUUAAAGUUGUUGCAGUUAAAAAGCUCGUAGUUGAAUUUCGGGAUCAAUUAAUUGGUCGUGCCUCUGGUACGUACUGAUUUUAUUGGUUUCUCCCUUCUGACGAACCAUGAUGUCAUUAAUUUGGUGUCGUGGAGAAUCAGGACUGUUACUUUGAAAAAAUUAGAGUGUUUAAAGCAAGCUAACGCUUGAAUACAUUAGCAUGGAAUAAUGAAAUAGGACGUUUGAUCCUAUUUUGUUGGUUUCUAGGAUCGACGUAAUGAUUAAUAGGGAUAGUUGGGGGCAUUAGUAUUCAAUUGUCAGAGGUGAAAUUCUUGGAUUUAUUGAAGACUAACUACUGCGAAAGCAUUUGCCAAGGAUGUUUUCAUUAAUCAAGAACGAAAGUUAGGGGAUCGAAGACGAUCAGAUACCGUCGUAGUCUUAACCAUAAACUAUGCCGACUAGGGAUCGGAUGAUGUUAAUU
rnacentral:misc_RNA from 1 species